UACGGAAGGCAGCAGUGGGGAAUAUUGGACAAUGGGCGAAAGCCUGAUCCAGCCAUGCCGCAUGAGUGAAGAAGGCCUUCGGGUUGUAAAGCUCUUUUAGUGAGAAAGAUAAUGACGGUACUCACAGAAGAAGUCCUGGCUAACUCCGUGCCAGCAGCCGCGGUAAUACGGAGAGGGCUAGCGUUAUUCGGAAUUAUUGGGCGUAAAGAGCGCGUAGGCUGAUUAGUAGUUAAAAGUGAAAUCCCAAAGCUUAACUUUGGAAUUGCUUUUUAAAACUGCUAGUCUAGAGAUUUGAAAGAGGAUAGAGGAAUUCCUAGUGUAGAGGUGAAAUUCGUAAAUAUUAGGAGGAACACCAGUGGCGAAGGCGUCUAUCUGGUUCAAAUCUGACGCUGAGGCGCGAAGGCUGGGGAGCAAAC
rnacentral:rRNA from 1 species